rnacentral:rRNA from 1 species
AUACGUAGGGUGCGAGCGUUGUCCGGAAUUACUGGGCGUAAAGAGCUCGUAGGUGGUUUGUCGCGUCGUCUGUGAAAUUCCGGGGCUUAACUCCGGGCGUGCAGGCGAUACGGGCAUAACUUGAGUACUGUAGGGGAGACUGGAAUUCCUGGUGUAGCGGUGAAAUGCGCAGAUAUCAGGAGGAACACCGGUGGCGAAGGCGGGUCUAUGGGCAGUAACGGACGCUGAGGAGCGAAAGCAUGGGUAGCGAACAGGAUUAGAUACCCUGUUAGUCCAUGCCGUAAACGGUGGUCGCUAGGUGUAGGGGUCUUCCACGAUUUCUGUGCCGUAGCUAACGCAUUAAGCGCCCCGCCUGGGGAGUACGGCCGCAAGGCUAAAACUCAAAGGAAUUGACGGGG